rnacentral:rRNA from 1 species
AUUGAACGCUGGCGGCAUGCCUUACACAUGCAAGUCGAACGGCAGCGGGGACUUCGGUCCGCCGGCGAGUGGCGAACGGGUGAGUAAAGUAUCGGAACGUGCCCAGUCGUGGGGGAUAACGUAGCGAAAGUUACGCUAAUACCGCAUACGAUCUAUGGAUGAAAGCGGGGGACCGUAAGGCCUCGCGCGAUCGGAGCGGCCGAUGUCAGAUUAGGUAGUUGGUGGGGUAAAGGCUCACCAAGCCAACGAUCUGUAGCUGGUCUGAGAGGACGACCAGCCACACUGGGACUGAGACACGGCCCAGACUCCUACGGGAGGCAGCAGUGGGGAAUUUUGGACAAUGGGCGAAAGCCUGAUCCAGCAAUGCCGCGUGCAGGAAGAAGGCCUUCGGGUUGUAAACUGCUUUUGUACGGAGCGAAAAGGCUCUCUCUAAUACAGGGGGCUCAUGACGGUACCGUAAGAAUAAGCACCGGCUAACUACGUGCCAGCCGCCGCCGUAA